GACGAACCGUACGAACGUUAUUCGGAAUUACUGGGCUUAAAGGGUGCGUAGGCGGCGCAGUAAGUUGGGUGUGAAAUCCCUCGGCUUAACCGAGGAAUUGCGCCCAAAACUACUGUGCUCGAGGGAGAUAGAGGUGAGCGGAACUUAGGGUGGAGCGGUGAAAUGCGUAGAUAUCGGAAGGAACGCCGGUGGCGAAAGCGGCGGGCUGGACCUCUUCUGACGCUGAGGCGCGAAAGCCAGGGGAGCAAACGGG
rnacentral:rRNA from 1 species